AAAUUAAAAAGAAAACAAAAUACAAUUUCUGCGAUUUAAAUUUUAAUUAAAUCAAAACAAAAGUGAAAAUUAAUAAAAACAAAGUUGUUAAUAGUAUUCCUGAUUAACUGUUUUAUCUAUAUUAUAUAAAUAAUUUCAUACAAAAUGAUCCAGAGUCAACUAUUUCAUCGAUCUAAAAAGUGACUUCAUCAUAUCCGAAGAAAUAUUUCCCUACGUAACUUGGCUCUAGCUGAUAGAGGAUUCUUUCAGGAUCUUUUUGCAGACACCGCUGGUCCAGAAAUGGCAAAACUUUUCACAGGUAAACAACAAAACAAUCUACGCCGGCUUUGAUCCAGCUGCCGAUAGUCACACGUUGGCAAUCUCCUGGUAAUAAUUGGACUUCUGCAUGGCAUCGAGAAAGACACAAUCCAAUUGCGUUUGUUGGAAUACGGGUCUUAUCAGUAAUCCUAGUGGCAAAACAAAACGAAAUAAAGGGUUGUCGGUCAUUGAGACAAAUUAGAGUCGUCAACAAUGCAUCAUAGUACGAAAAUCUGAAUGUAGGAUUACUGCUCUCAAUAUCGUCAGUCCAGUCGCGACUUCAUAGUGCAGCUGGAAUGAGCUUUACCGAAUUCACAUAACAAAUUUUCCAGGGUUAUGACUUGUUGCUUCAGAAAUACAAUUGUCGCUUUCAAAUGGGAGGCAGUGAACAAAUGGGUAAUUUAAUGACUGGCCACGAACUAUCAGCAGAGUAGAAAAAAAGAAAUCAGUAUUUGGAUUGACACUUCCAAUAAAUUGUGACCAACGAAGGAGAAGACAAGUUCAGAAAAUCUGCUGGCAAGUCUAUGGAGAGGUAUGUCUAAAACAAGACGAAAAAGUCAAAGAGGCGCUCUGUAAGGGAAAUGUUGAAGGACUAGGUUAACUGAAUUACAACGAAACCCGAUCGUUGAGAUUUUUUCAGAGCCUGGACUAUCCAUUCUUGAUCUGGCACUAAAAGCUAAAUGUUUUACAACAGAGACUGAUGCGAUCAGAAUCAUCACAACUGGAGGGUUCUAUAUCAAUCAAAAGUAAAUGUAGUUUAUGUGUUACGUUCCCAUUUUCAUAUGUUUUGUAUUUUAUUUAUUUAUUACAUCAAUUAGAGUUAAGAGUGUACUCAAAUAGACUAAU